UACGGAGGGGGCUAGCGUUGUUCGGAAUUACUGGGCGUAAAGGGCGCGUAGGCGGACGAUCAAGUCAGGGGUGAAAGGCCUGGGCUCAACCUGGGAACGGCCUUUGAAACUGAUUGUCUAGAGUCCGGGAGAGGAUGGCGGAAUACCCAGUGUAGAGGUGAAAUUCGUAGAUAUUGGGUGGAACACCGGUGGCGAAGGCGGCCAUCUGGACCGGCACUGACGCUGAGGCGCGAAAGCGUGGGGAGCGAACAGG
rnacentral:misc_RNA from 1 species